CCUUAUAUUUUCGUGCGUUUGUUCAUCAGUUAAUCAUUGAGCGAGUGACUAAAAGGAUCGAGGUCUAAUGACAUUGCACGCAACUAUAUUUUUCUUUGUGCCUCGCGACUGAGACAUCAGCCAAUUAUCCGAAAAAGUAACUGACGGAGACGCCCCAUCCCGUGAGCCCGGAGGCUUAGAAGGAAAACGUUUCAAUUUGAGUGAGGAACUCGGGAAAUACCGUCGUGUAUUUUCGUUUGCAGCAGCGGUCUAUUUUUCCCGAGACGCGCAUCUCCGGUGUGUCGUUCCACAGUUUCAACGCGAAAGACGGAGAGCCCCGGCUUGUUUUGAGCGCUUAAAACGCGCUCGAAAAUGCACCUCGGCGCGCGGGGGAACGACGCAGGACACUCCGCUCGCUGUUUUCGCCACGCUCAACGCGCCAACCGAACACACACACACACACGCACACGGAGCGGAGCAACCCAGAGAUAAAAUCAAUAACGAGAUGCUCGCCAUGAGACUGGAUGAACAACGCGCAAAGGGACCCACCGACACCGAACAAGAUAAAGAGAUGCGGGGAUCACGCUCGCUUAAUCCAGUUAUGCCAAAUCACGUUGUCGAGGGCGGAGACCAAUGACAGCGAGAUAUACGACGCUGCGACGCUCCAAAGAAAUCUCUUGCACACCCAAAUUUCGGGGCUCCUUCGAUUCUCGUACUUGAUACCGAACAAUCGACAUUUUUAUCGUCGAUUUAUCGAAAUCGUUACGAAACUCGAGUCGGUCGAGCUCGCAAGUCAAAAGUUUAGAUCGAUCGAAUACUAACUCGAAAUUGAGUAGGAAAAGUUCGAGAUUUUCAAGAAAUCAUUUAAAAUCGAACAUUUUGAAAAAAAAAAUGAGAAUAAAUUCAAACGAUUUCAAGAAAUGAAUAUCAAUCGAAAAGUUUUUGAAGAUGUUGAAGGAAUGAAAAUGAUUUCAAAGAAAUUCGUCAAAUUUGUUGAAACGACUCGGAAGGAAAUCGUUGAAAGUUUUCGAAAAAUCGUUUGAAACCGACUGCGCAGAAACGUCGAAAAUCGAAAUGAUUUCCAAAAAGAAUUCCAAAAAAAUGAUUGAAAAUUCGAAAGUCGCUGAAAAUCAAACGAUUUUUACGUCCAGAAGGGACGAGAAAAGGAUUGGGUUAAUUUA